CGAUUCUGCAGAUGCUCAGUGUCUGAUGUUGAACACUGAUGAAAUUAUAAGCUGUGGAUACACGAGCCAGAUCACCCUGGAAUGCAAAGAAAGCAUCAUUCGAGCAAUUGUCCUACAUUCUACUACAAGACUGAUUCCAAUGCUGCAGCAAAAUCGAAAGGGCAUGGAACUGUACGGCCUGGUGAACCAGAUGGCUGUAAACCUUGAAGCUUGCCGCUCCCUGUUUGUUCCCGGGAAGAUUAUCAAGGUAUCUGUUGGAGCCAUUCUGAAUACUGCAAUGGGAUGGCGCUGUUUUUGCCACCAGCCUAUUUAACACCAGGGCUAAUUAGUGCAGGUGUGGCGCACAGCGAGGCAGAUAACUUUUGACCGUGAGGCACGGCGGAUUGUGAACCGAAUUGUUUGUUAUUUUUGUUAUAAAUAAAUGGAUUGACAUAUCCGAUGUUAAGUUCA